rnacentral:rRNA from 1 species
CCUACGGGAGGCAGCAGUGGGGAAUUUUGGACAAUGGGCGCAAGCCUGAUCCAGCCAUGCCGCGUGCAGGAUGAAGGCCUUCGGGUUGUAAACUGCUUUUGUACGGAACGAAACGGCCUUUUCUAAUAAAGAGGGCUAAUGACGGUACCGUAAGAAUAAGCACCGGCUAACUACGUGCCAGCAGCCGCGGUAAUACGUAGGGUGCAAGCGUUAAUCGGAAUUACUGGGCGUAAAGCGUGCGCAGGCGGUGAUGUAAGACAGUUGUGAAAUCCCCGGGCUCAACCUGGGAACUGCAUCUGUGACUGCAUUGCUGGAGUACGGCAGAGGGGGAUGGAAUUCCGCGUGUAGCAGUGAAAUGCGUAGAUAUGCGGAGGAACACCGAUGGCGAAGGCAAUCCCCUGGGCCUGUACUGACGCUCAUGCACGAA